AGAAAUAAUAAUCAUAUUGCGAUAAUUGUGGGGAAAUUGUUAUGUAUGCUAGAUUUCGUUUUUUCUUUCUUUCUUUCUUUUUUUCUCCGAUGUAGCAAGCAAAUCGUUUUCAUGAGUUUGUAAAGAUUGAUGAGAACAUAUAUAUGAGGAGAAAAAGGGAGACAUGUAAUGCCUAACCGACAUGACAAAUUAGAAGGGGACAUACAUCAACUUUGAAAUGUGGUCAAAGUUUAAAUGCUUACUAUGAAAA
rnacentral:lncRNA from 1 species